GGGCGCCCUUGGGGUAGUGAGGGGGGGCGCCGGAGGCCUGUGGCGUGGGGGGCUGGGCUCCGCUACCGAGGGCGAUCAGGAGACUUGGGCCGUUGAGUUAUCGGCCCAGCACGAGCCCCUCACGCGCCUCUUGCCUUUCCCCCUUUGCAGGAGAAGCCGUGGAAAUGUUGGCCAAGCCCCUGACGCUCUCUGCCCCAGGGAAAGCCAUUCUCCACGGGGAGCACGCUGUCGUGCACGGCAAGGCAGCUUUGGCUGUGGCCUUGAACCUGAGAACGUUCCUUCAAAUUAGACCCAGUAAUAAUGGAAAGGUCGUAAUAUGUUUGCCUAAUAUUGGAACCAGUUUAAACUGGGAAGCCGCCCGGCUCCGGACACUGCUAACGGCAUUUUCAGAUGGCUUGGAUGAAUCUAAAUGCCCCAGCCCAGAACAAAUGGAAUCACUGAAAGAGUUCGCAGGAAUCACUACUGGACUUUCAGCCACUGAGAGCCUUGGUACCCUUGCAUUUCUCUAUCUGUACCUGUCUAUUUCAGCUAAAUAUGGACAGGUACCAAGUGUGGAGAUAGUGGUGUGGUCUGAGCUGCCCACAGGAGCUGGGCUAGGCUCAAGUGCUGCCUAUUCUGUUUGUUUGGCAGCUGCCCUGUUGACUGCAUGUGGAGCCAUUGGCUGCCCAUUAGAGGAGGAGAAGCCCGUAGUCAGGUGGCCUGAGGAGGAGUUGGAUUUAAUUAACAGAUGGGCCUUUCGGGGAGAGCAGGUCAUCCAUGGCAAGCCUUCUGGUGUGGAUAACUCUGUAGCAACUUGGGGUGGAGUACUCAGAUUUCAGUCAGGGAAAAUCACAUCAUUGAAGAGAGUGCCAACUCUAAGGAUCUUAUUGACCAACACAAAAGUCUCUCGGAGCACCAAGAUCCUUGUGGCACGUGUCAAAGACAAGAUCCUUAAGUUUCCUGCUAUAAUGAACCCAGUGCUUGCCUCGAUAGAUGCAAUUUCUCAUGAGUGUGAAAGUGUUUUAGAAGCAAUGGCUGUGAGUCCAUCACAGGAUUAUUACCCUGUGCUAGAGGAGCUCUUUGAUAUAAACCAGCAUCACUUAAAUGUGAUUGGAGUUGGCCAUUCCUCACUGGACAGCGUGUGCCGAGUGACCGCCACGCAUGGGCUACACAGUAAGCUGACUGGCGCUGGAGGAGGUGGCUGCGCAAUCACUUUGUUAAGACCAGAUGCUGUCAUUUUAAUCCAUCAGAGAAGCCACGAGCAGGCCUACUGCUGAUACACCAGCUUAGAGAGAUUGUACCCCAAUUCCUAAAUGUGGUCUCUGAAGAAUAGACUAUGUAUUGUUCAUCCAUGCCUCAAACCGGCAUUAACUAAAGAAGCCUCAACACUCCCAUGUGCGAAGAAGACAUUACAGAAGGCAACAGAAGUCUCCCACAUCAAAGCGUUUCUAAGACAUGCCCUUUCUGGGCUUUUCUGAAGUAAGGACAUUAAUGCAGAUUCCAGGAUUUCUGUCCAUGUUUUGGAAGAGUCUGCAGGGCCCUUGCAUUUGCAUGGCUCCUUCCAUCUCUGCCUCCUGCCAGCAAAGGAAGUCCUGAUCCCCUACUGAUCUGUAUCAUUCACUGGGGCACAGGCUGGUGUCAACCUGGGCUGCAUGGUGCUGAAUUGUUGGAUGGACCAGAGGAAGUGCAGCAUUGUCCACUUGAUGGUUUGGUUGCUUUGAAUUACUUAAGACUUUUUUUUUUAAAUAAAAAAAGAUUCAUGAGUCCAAUUUCUGGGGUGGCCGUAAAGUGGCCUCCGUGUCAAAGACAGUUGACACAGUCCUACCAUGCCUGCUGCAGCUGGAGGUUGAAGACAGAGCUAAUCAACAGCAGGGUUUUAUUGUGUCAACUCCCAACAACAAGGAGUUCUUCUCCAGCUAUGAAGGAAGAGCAGCACCUCAGCCAACGCUAAGGUUGGGUGCAUUUAUUUUUAAUGAAGGUAAAUUAAGAUGCAAAUUAACCCUGAUCCUUGGUCUCCUGGCUAGUUGCCAGUGAAGUGCAUGAUGGUGCAAAGUCUGGGCAACUGUGUGUAAAAGCAAUCAUUGUCCUGCCACUGUCCACACUGUAGCUACAGCUUGUAGACCCAGUUCGCACUGCCUGUUGAAAUACAAGGGCCACAUUCUGCAAUCGAAAUCCUGAGGGACUCCAUUGAUUUCAGCGGAGUUAUUCUAGGUGUACACCUGUGCUAGUGAAAGCAGAAUCUGGUAUGGGGGCAGCUCCUUUGCAGGCACCGGGGUUGCAUUUGUCUGGACUGCAACAGGUGCUUUGGUUUGAUUUCUACGAAUUAACCUGCAUGGUCUCUUCCCUCCGGAUACAGCCACACGGCUUCCCAACUGAAUGUCUCCUUGUGGUCUGCUGGAACGCCAGCACUGCGCCUUCAGACUGGAGCUGCUGGUGGGUAAUUUCUGAUUAAGGAUUACUGUACCAUCGGCUUCAGUUUGAUUGCAGAUGUUUUUAAUUAUAUCGUAUAAGAUCGUAUUAUGUAAUUGCAUUUAUCUGAUUGAAGCCUUAAUUGUAGGAUUUCAUAAUGGUAUGACUGGGUAAAUAUACCAUUGCGUCUGUUGUCCCCCAA